rnacentral:rRNA from 1 species
AGUGAACGCUGGCGGUAGGCCUAACACAUGCAAGUCGAACGGCAGCACAGUAAGAGCUUGCUCUUACGGGUGGCGAGUGGCGGACGGGUGAGGAAUACAUCGGAAUCUACUUUUUCGUGGGGGAUAACGUAGGGAAACUUACGCUAAUACCGCAUACGACCUACGGGUGAAAGCAGGGGAUCUUCGGACCUUGCGCGAUUGAAUGAGCCGAUGUCGGAUUAGCUAGUUGGCGGGGUAAAGGCCCACCAAGGCGACGAUCCGUAGCUGGUCUGAGGGGAUGGUCAGCCACACUGGAACUGAGACACGGUCCAGACUCCUACGGGAGGCAGCAGUGAGGAAUAUUGGACAAUGGGCGCAAGCCUGAUCCAGCCAUACCGCGUGGGUGAAGAAGGCCUUCGGGUUGUAAAGCCCUUUUGUUGGGAAAGAAAAGCAGCAGGUUAAUACCCCGCUGUUCUGACGGUACCCAAAGAAUAAGCACCGGCUAACUUCGUG